GAAAAAGUCAGCCGUCGUUAUUUGUAUUUUUUAAGGUGAGGUGUCGGUCUCCUUCGAUUCAUGUGUCUUUAAAUCCCCGCAGGACAUUGGUGAGGAGGAGAGAGGAGUCGAGGCUCGUAAUGGCUGAAAUGGAGAAUCCUACACAGCAAGAAGUCUGCAGGAUGAUAGGCUAUUGCACAUUGGUCCUGUGUCUCAUACCACAGGUGACAUGGGUUAUAAGCAAGGGGAUCCCGAAACCAUAUACGUCAACAAAGUCGGUCCUUACCACAACCCGGAACCCCAGGGAACUUAUCAUUACUACAUGUUGUCUGUUUGCAGGCCAAGAGUGUGGGAGAAGUGCUUGAUGGAGAUCGGAUGACAGAGUCCCUGCAUAAAAUCAAAUUCUGGGAGAAUACAGAGAAAAACAAGUCACUGCCAGCUAAGUCUAACAGAGAAAGAGGUGGACCAGCUCCGAGAGGCCACAGAGGAGCCGCGCUACUUCGAGUUUGUCCUGGAUGACAUUCCCAUCUGGGGCUUUGUGGGGUACAUGGAGGAGAGUGGCUUCCUGCCUCAAAGUCAUAAGGAGGGUGGGGCUGUGGACACACCUGGACUUCAACAUCAUCCUCGUGUUAUACGCCUGCAUCUCGGCGGUGCUGUACUACGUGGGGCUGCGAGCAUUACACCCUGUGUAGCAUCAUCCUCGUGUUAUACGCCUGCAUCUCGGCGGUGCUGUACUACGUGGGGCUGCGAGCAUUACACCCUGUGUAGCAUCAUCCUCGUGUUAUACGCCUGCAUCUCGUCGGUGCUGUACUACGUGGGGCUGCGAGCAUUACACCCUGUGUAGCAUCAUCCUCGUGUUAUACGCCUGCAUCUCGGCGGUGCUCACCUACUUCAUUCGCUACAUCAAAUCAAACUUUAUUUGUCACAUGCGCCGAAUACAACAAGUGUAGACCUUACCGUGAAAUGUUUACUUACAAACCCUUAACCACCC